rnacentral:rRNA from 1 species
AUUGAACGCUGGCGGCAGGCCUAACACAUGCAAGUCGAGCGAGCGGCGGAAGGGUGAGUAAUGUAUGGGGAACUGCCCGAUAGAGGGGGAUAACUACUGGAAACGGUAGCUAAUACCGCAUACUAACAGAUGUACCCAUAUGGGAUUAGCUAGUAGGUGGGGUAAAGGCUCACUUAGGCGACGAUCUCUAGCUGGUCUGAGAGGAUGACAAGCCACACUGGAACUGAGACACGGCCCAGCCUCCUACGGGAGGCAGCAGUGGGGAAUAUUGCACAAUGGGCGCAAGCCUGAUGCAGCCAUGCCGCGUGUGUGAAGAAGGCCUUCGGGUUGUAAAGCACUUUCAGCGGGGAGGCGUUACCCGCAGAAGAAGCACCGGCUAACUCCGUGCCAGCAGCCGCGGUAAUUC